CCCUCCCCAUUCAUGCUCUGUCUCUCUCUCAAGAAGAAACCUUUAAAAAAUUAAAAAAAAAAAGAAAAACACAGUCUUGGUUCUGAAAAAGCGAAACCUGCAGCAUUGGCUCCCCGAAGUCCUGGGGAAGAUCGUUCCCUGAAGUAAGUGCAGCUGCUUUCUUGGGGGCUGUCAUCUGGCCCUCUUUCUAGUUUUAAACUUCCACGAGUUAGGGGAUCCCAAGCGAGCAUCAGGCCGGCUUUAGGCGGGCGCCCGUCUCACGAGCCCCUCUCCCUGCUCCCCUCCCCCCCGUGACACCAGUGGGCAGGCCUGCCGAUAAGCAGGUCUCCUUCGCUCUUGUCCUUUGUGCUCUUCAGCUCACCUCUGCCCCUGUUUUAGAAGAAUGAACUUUGAACCUGGGGGGGUGGGUGGGGGCUAGAAGGAAGAGAGCCCUGGAUAGUGUUGUGUAAACACUUCGGUCUGAUCCUUCUAAUCUUUUACUACCUGUAGGGACAGGUGGCUGCAGCAAGGCUGCUGGCAGGAAAGCCUGAUUUUUUCUAGGCUGUGGGUUACGCAACAGAGCAGAUCUUUGAAGCUGCAAAGGGAGGUCAGAGCAGCCUGUCCACAGGCAUAUUACGCACAAGUUUCCCUUUAUAAGACCUAAUUUGCCUGAGUAUCACUAGGAACUUCUGUGCCAACAUUGAGCUGGCUCUCUGGAGUGAGUUGUUACCGCCAGGCUCUAGUUAAAGCAGUCAGUCUUUUUUUUCUUUAAAAAAGGUCUCUACUUUCCAAGGUCUCAAGCAGCUCUCUUCGGCAGCUGUGUUUGGAUAACGGGGUGCGUUCCAUCCUAGCCUGUAACCUCGCACUCACAUCUGCGAAUGUUCGCUCUGUCCAGAAGUGGAGGUAGAUGGCGAUGUAGCAGGUCCGGUGGACCAGGCGGUGCUGAGCUUGCGUCUGGGACGGUGACCAGACCGAUGAAAGGAGAAGGAAGAGAUAUUUUUAGCGCGUCAGGGCCGCUUGGAAACACUGGUUCCCGCCAUCCCCCCUCCCCAAGUAAUUCCAGCAGGGGGUUCGGUGGGGAGUGCAUCUGCUCUAAUUUAGUGUAUAACGCAUUUCACUUCCGUAUUAUACUUCAGAAUAUUCAUGAGGGCUGGUGAGUUGCUGACUUGACAAAGGAGUAGCUUUGAAACCCACAUUAUGGGCUCGGUUUUUAGGGUCCCUAGAUGCAGCCUGAAUGUGUGAUGUUAUUGCAGAGGGCCUCUAGGGGGGCUCCCGGGCCCCAGUGUGGACUGGGAGAACCAGCCACUCCUUUUGCCUCAGAAGUGUGGUUUUCCCUGGAGGUUGGGGCCUGAGGACAUAGUCCACUCUAUUUCUCUUCUCCCGGGAGUGGAUUCAAGCAGGCGUCGCUGUUCUGAUGUUGAGAACAACAUGACCUCUGCCGUUAGGUUCUUACAAGUUGUGGUGCGCCGAUUUAAACCACCGGUGAUGUUAAAUCAACUGAAAAACUCCAGUGAGGUUAUAAAUUAAGUACAACUUAAGGGAAGGGAUGGAAGGGAUCCUGUCUGGGGCGUAGGUGAUCCUCUCCAGAAUCACUUUCGAGACCGGAGGACUUUUGUAUGUGCUGAGAAAAGCGUGAGUUGAUUUCCGUACAAGGGAAGGGUUUCUCUUCGUAAGCUUCUGCUUAGCUGCUCGGUUUUGAUUGAGGUUCCAUCUGUCUCUCCUGGCCGUCAAGUGUAGAAGAAACAACAGAGUGUGUGGAGGAAACACAGGGGUUGGGAUUAGGAGGCCGGAGCCUGGGCUCUUCCCUCCAGCCCCCGACAUGCACCGCGCCCCGCGGGUGCCCGGUGUGGUUCUGCAGGUUACUGGCCUCUCUGUCCCUGCUGAUGUGAUGAGGCAGGAGACCACAUCUGAAUCCCACGCUUGUUAGGUGUGUGACUUUGGCCGCUUAAGGUUACCUAAUGUCUUUUUGCCUCAGUCUCCUCAUCCAUAAAAUGGGAAUUGAAAUAGUACCUGCCUCGAGGGGCUGCUGCAAGGAUUUGAACGUGCAGUAAGUGAAGCGUGCAGGUGAUGGGAUCUGUUCCUCUUCCUUCAGGCUCUUCAGGCUCUUUGGCCUCUGAGUGAGAAACAGUAAAUGGGCCACAGGUUCACGGGAGAGCCAGUCAGAGCGAGUGACGGACCAGGGAAGCUGAAGGGGCCGUGGGCGCUCGAUGCCCUUCCGUUGUGGAGCAGUGCUCAGCUUGGCACCUCCUCACGUGCCCCGUCUCCCUCCCCUGGUGCUUAGACAGCAGUCCUUCCCUCAGCGGAAGAAGUGGCCCUUCUCAGUCCCACGUGGAACACAUGCCCCAGCGUUGCCCUCAGAUGACCUACGUGGUGGAGACAAGGGGCCUCGGGUAGGCGUCGCCGCUGACCUGGAGGUGGUGCCCCCCUCACCCCCCACUUGCUGAGGUCCCCCGCAGCGUCCGCCAGUUUUCCUGCACUUUCAAGGGUCGUUGUCGGACUUAGUCAUGGCGGCCAAGCUCUUUAUUAGCUGGUUCUCCUUGGUGAAAGCCCUUUCACUGAAACUUCCUUCUCAGCCUACACGUUUUAGACUCUCAGCACAUUUCUGUGAGGGCUCAGCUGGCUGCCCUUAAAAGAGCCCCCCUGAGGGGUAAGGAGAGCAGUUUUCACGCUCCUCCCCCCAAAUCAGCCGAUACGUCAUGGCUUCCACCAUGAAAGGUUUUCAGAGGGAGGAAACCGCUUACGAGGCAAGCUUAGAGAGCUUGUGGCUCCUUUCCAGAAUGUACUUAGUGGUUCUGCCCUGCGUGGUGGAGAGCCCCGUUCUCUUAUGUUUGGGUGGCUCCAUCCACUCUCCACCAAGAAUGACGUCCUUAAAGGCUGCCCCCAGGCAGAAGGUCCUUCUGCUGCCCUGCCAGGGGCUUGGGGACUUGGUAAGCGGCACUGCAAAUCUCGGGGGGGGGGGGGGGGGGCUAAUCAGGUGAUCAGUCUGGGGAUGGAAAGACAAGAAGGUGGUAGAAAGUUGUGCUGAUUGUCUUGCAAGUCACAGAUCUGAAAUUUUGUCACGUCUCAUGGGGGUGAGGAGAAGCCAGCCUGAGUAGAGAACGUCUUAAAUUGACUUCACAGUGAACUAAAGUAUGAGAAUGGUAACUGUUCUUUGUCACUCAAAAUUACUAGUCCCAAAAGCCUUUAAAAAGGCCAGCCACUUCUGGUGAUCAAAAUCAACUGUCCUGUUUUUUGCAAACAAACCUGGACGGGGCUGGCCGCCAGUGUGGCUGUGUGCAGCUGCCACCUUGUGGCCAGAACCAGGCAGUGCGUGUGUUACCUGUUGCCGGAUCCCCUGUGUGAAAUGUGUCAAUCUUAAAGCUCUUUUACAAAGAUUUUUCUCAGUCACCCUCUCACUACACAUUCCAUCUCCAGGGCUUAACCAUUCUACUUCUGUCGAAUCUGUACGGGACAAUGUCACUACCAGGCUCCAGGGUCACUACCUUCAGCCUCCAGACUGAUCUUGCUCCAACAUGUUAAUCUGAUUGUGUUUUUUCUCUUACUUAAAGCCCUUUAAUGGCUCUUCCUUACCCAGGUUCCAGCACAUCUCUCAGAAUUUCCCCGAGCCCAAGCUCCUUUGCCCCAGGGCUGCAUCUUUGCACACGCUCUUCUCUCUUCCUCUUCUGUUUAACACCUACUCAUUCUCAAGACUCGUUUCAGGGUUCACCUCCUUCAGGAAGCCCUCUGCACUGUAUUAGAUAUUAGACUUUCAUCUUUGUGUCACAGUGUCUGACAUAUAACUGUUGCUUGCUAAUUAUUAGCGAGUAAAGGGAGGGGGAAGACAAGUAAGCAGAGACCCGAAGCGCCAAAUGUUCCUCUUGGGUGUGAUGGAGCUCAGGGAAGAACGGAGGUGAGCCCAAGGGGCCCUGGAGCAAAGAGCCUCGUGUCCCUGCAGAUGGCAGAGAAACAGUCCCCUCGGUGAGCGACGCUUACCUCUCCUGUACUGUUCCCUCUCUCUGUUAGCCCCUCCUGAUGCUCACUGAUUCAUCCUUUUAAGCAUGCAUCAGUCACAUCACUGUCCUGCUCAAAACCCUCCUGUGCAAGAGUUCGGAUUCCAGGACCUCACAGCAUGAGCUCACCUUACCUGUAUUUCAUACCAUUUCUUACCUGUGCCAUACGUAUCAUCUGAAUCCUAGGACUCGAGGGUCAUUUGCUGUGAGUUUACUUACUUACUUGGCCGGCCGUGUGGCAAAAGCACCGUCUAAAAUUUCAAUUAAGACAUCUGUUAUCAAGCGUCUGUGGGUGUAAGCCGCUGUGCUGGUCACCGGAACCACCAGAAAAGAAGGUGUCGUUCUGUGCCUGCAGAGAGCUGAUAGUCCAGGAGAAGGGGGAAGACGACAAACAUGCAGGCAGCGUUAAGGAACGAGAUAGCAGAAAUGAACAUGUCACAAGGCGGUGUGUGAUUAAUUGCCAAAUAAAUGGCUCAAGAGUGUGGUGGUGACUACAGAAGAUAAUGUAUGUGGAAGUGCCUCUCGGCUGAAAAAUUCCCAGUUCCGGGCAGCACUGCCAUCCGCCCCUGUCCCACUCGGACGUGACUCUGGUUCCACUUCACACACCUAGGCACCUGGACGGCCGUGCAAAGUCCUUGUGGGACGAGGCCCUGCUGGCCCCCCACCCUCGAACCCCGUGCUGCAGCCAUGCUGAAGAGCAGGUGCCACAUACGGUUCCCUCCUCCUCAUCUCCCUUCCUUGUCUAACUUCCUCCUUUCACACCCUGCGCUUCCUUCACCACUCAGCCUAGUGGUCGGUCGUCAGACUCAGGCACACUGCGGGCCGACCUGGCGCAUCCUCCGCCGAGCCUCCCCGCUCCCUUGCCAGACAGGCCUCCCCUCGUGUGCCCGGCGCCCAUCCCUCUCCUCCCUCCGAGGGAGGGAGCCUCCUGCGGCAGGCGCCCCGUCUCUCUCCUUCGUGCUCCUUGCACUUGACACAGCAUCAGACAUGGCGUACGUGUCCCCUGAGCGUUCGUCCCUUAACGCAUUAGGGGACUCCGUGAACAUGAGUUGAUUGACACGGUACAGACGUGACCGUCGCGAGUGGGGAGGCCGGAGCUGAGCCCUGGGGGGGUCCAGGUAGGCUCGCUCCGGCAAGGAGGAAACGCUGAACAGAACGAACAUUAAAAGGGCCGAAGAAGGAGAAGGGAUCCCAGGUGGAGGAGCUCAGUGCCCGUGAGCGCUGACAGCUCGGCCGUUUCUCACAGUACUCGGGAGCCGGAGGGCCUGCCGAGCAGGGGACGGCAGACAGCUUAUUUUAGUUGGAGCAAGGGGUUGUCUAAAGGAAGGAGAGAGAAUGCCCUGAAGGUGCUUUGGACGCCGCUGGUGGAAAGGCCUCAAAGGUACGUGGGUAUCUUGGAGACAGCGGAUGCCAUUUAUUGUUUUCAACAUCCGUGGUGACUUCAAGUGGCGUUGAAAGUGGGAGCUGCCCCGUGGCCCUGUCUUCAUCAUAAGUCGCGGCAUUGACACUCACGCAGAGACCCCCGAGACCAUAGGAUGCAGGUGCGAAGCCCCUCUGCCUCCAUCGCCUCACCUCUCGGGUGAAUCUUCCAUAAGACAAAGGCUUUCCUUCCGGCGCUGCCCUUGACCUGGCCCUGAGCCGUUGAUCCUUUGGGUCCAUUCAGCUCUGCCCUGUGCCUCUACCCUCGUGACUGGUAAUGACCCGGAAGGUGGCGGCACCCACGCAGCAGGUGGCCUCCAAAGCUGAGUCACCACCCUGGGAACAGUGCCCUGGGGAGGCCAGCUUGGGCGAACUAGGAACUCUCCACCUCGCCCGGGCCCUGUAAGGGCUCCCAGUGCAACAGCGAGAGCAAAGGAAAAAUGGGUUCUUGGACGCAUCUAGUGUUGUCACCGAGCUGAUAAGAAGGUGAAAUCAAGCCCACUGAAGAACUGAAAAGGAACUUAUCCUAAUGAUCCAUAAAGGCUGAAUCUAAAUGCAUUUGGAGGUUAGAGGUCAGAUGAUUCUGCCGGAAUCCAUUCCACUCAAAAGAAUGUCUCGACUCUCUGGGUUUGGCAUGCGGUUUGGAGAAAGAGAAUUUUUUUAAGGAGAGAAGUUUUAUUUACUCCUUGACCUAUGGGGUAUGGGAGGACUCACCUUUUGGAUAAAGGUUGCAAAAAAAAGCCUCUAUCAGGUGAACAUACUGAGAGGUUAAUAAGCAUUCAACACCCAGUGACGUGUGGCCAGCCUUUCAGGAAGCUGUGUUAUUGGAUCAGUGUGACAGCAUGAAGCAUCGAAGCCGUUCGAAGUUACUUGGGAAAUACUCGGGCCCUGAUGAGUUAAAAAGGCAGAGACAUCCAGUAAGUGAGUUCCCGCCUGGGCACGGGUGUGUUUAUCCUGCCCUUCAGAAGUCAGAGCCAACAUUCUUAAUGGUUUUGAAUGAUUCAGAAUGUUUCUCUCUCUCUCUCUCUCUCUCUCUCUCUCUCUCUCUCUCUCUCUCUCCGCACACGGGUUAUGACUGAAACUCCUUAGGUGAGGUCCACAGCAGAAACCAGCCUUAUACUUAAUGUCGUGUUUUAUAAUCAUCUUACUUAGAGCAAGAGGAAAACGAUCAAAUACAGCUUCCUUGUUUCAGGGAGAAGACCAAGGCAUGGGGGGGUUGGUCGUCUGGAGGCCACAGAGCUGGAAGGAGAGUCGCCAGUCUGAGCCCGGCCUCAUUCCUCUGACCACACAGCCCCUUGUCCAAACCUUGGGGGGAGGCUCCAGCAGGCCUUUGGCCUCCCGGCCAGGAGAGGCCGCUUGCCCUUUGAGGAAUGUUUAGAAAACUACUUAGGUCAGAGCAGAGAACUUCAUUUUUUACAAAAUGAAACAAAUCAUUUAUUUGACCUAAGCAGCUUUUUCAAAAUCUCUUUUGUCAGUGUUGUGAAUUUAUUAGCUUCUGGGCAGAAAUAAGAGGUAACAUUUCUAUUUCUAUCUCCGUGCCAGAGUAAGAGAACUGAUCUCUCUCUCUCUCUCUCUCUCUCUCCUUCCUUCUUUUUUUGGAUGAGAAUUAACUUAUGUCGCACUAGAUCUUAAUAAAACAAACUUUGAGUCCUUCCCACAGGAGAAAGAAUUGAGCAAUGUUCUGAGAACAUGUUGUACUCUUUUGGGUACCGAGUAAAUGUAAUAUUUAGAAGAUGCUCCAGAAGGCUUAAAAGUGCCCCUUGGUAAUGGAGUAAAGGGAGGGCAGUGGGGGCACAAUGGGAUAGAGAAGCUGGACAGACCAGAGGAGGAGGGCUUUGGGAGAGCAGCUGGAGCGCCGUCCUCCUGCCUGGGGGAGGACCUGAGGGUCCUGCAAGCCCCCAGGAAGGAGUCGUUUCCCCAUGAGCCAAAGUGGGAGCCGGCGGUCGUGGAGCCCCUCCCCCGUCCUGUCCCCAGCACGGUCAAAACCACUUCUUCCUCGGACUCCAUGCCACCUGCGCCAUCCAUAGGGGCCAGGAAAGCACGUGGCACAGGUCCCCGCGCUGACCACGCCGACUGUCUCCCAGGGCUUCCCCAGGUGCCUAGAAAGAAGAAGGGGCCUUUACUUGUGUAAGGGUCACAGCCUGAACCGAGAGACGAAAUAAUUUAAGGAAGAAAACGCCAGUCAAAGAGCGGGAAUUUGCACCAGAUCCCUGUCUGGGAGCCCUCCUGGGGGGCUGCACUGGCCCCGGGUGG